rnacentral:RNase_P_RNA from 1 species
UUUGCUGGACGGGCAGUCGCGGCCAGGGCAGGUUCCCGGAUAGGGAAUACCACCCUUGGGCGAGGCAAAGUCCGGUCUCCACAGGGCAGCGUGCCGGCUAACGGCCGGGGGGGCGGGCUCAAAGCCCGCUUCACGGAAAGUGCCACAGAGAAUAUACCGCCCUCCGCAAGGGGGGUAAGGGUGAAAAGGUGCGGUAAGAGCGCACCGCGCUCCGGGCAACCGGAGUGGCAGGGUAAACCCCACGUGGAGCAAGACCAAAUAGGGGGGGAGGGGCGGCCCGCUCCGUUCGACCUCCGGGUAGGUUGCUUGAGCCUGUCAGCAAUGGCAGGCCUAGAUGAAUGACUGCCGCCCGGCCGAAAGGCCGGGUCCAGAAACCGGCUUACAGUCCGGCAGACUCC